GACACCCAUCUUCUCCUAAAGAACUUCAAGCAGCCUAGAGUGUAACACAUCUGGAGAACAUCAGCCUUCAGCCAUGAAGACCCUUUUCCUUGUGUUUGCUGCUCUCUUGUUCUUCAGUCAAAUUAUUCCAGGAAGUUCUCAGCCUGCCCCUGAUACCUUAGAAUGCAGGAGGAGUCACCAUGGGUUCUGUAAAAAAUACUCCUGCCCUGGGCAGACUAUACCUACUGGAGGGACAUGUCAGUGGGGAUCCCUGCUUUGCUGUAAAUCUCCUUAUAGCCAGAGAAGGAGGUAACCAACUCAACCAUAGAGAAAGCACGACUUCUGGAUUCUAGAGAAAUACAUGCCGGAUUUGAAAACUGGUGGCUUCAGCUUCCAAGUCAAAAAUGAAGAGUCAUUUGUUUGGACUAUAAACAGACAUAAUGUUCACACUCCUCUCCGCCCUCUCCUCCCCUUUUUACACUUAUUCAUGUUUUGACUUAAGGGCAAGUUUCCAGAAAAUAUUAAGUAACCAGCUAGAGUUCUCUACACAGAAUUUUGGAAAUGAAAGUUAAUCCUAAAUUAAGAAAUAAUUAGGGAAAUUUUAGAAAUAGUCUGUAAUAUCAAAAAGUAAAGUUUAUGGAUAUUUUAAAGAAAGGGAGGCAAGAAGGAAGGGAAAAGAAAGAUUUACUUGCUUUUCUGGAACUCAGUGAAAGAAAUUUACAUUUUUAUUUACAAAAGCUAAAUUACAGAGCUAGUAGAAUCUAUUCUCUUCUGAUAUGCAUGAAAAUCUCAUUUAAAGACAUGCACAAUUAUGCACCUUCUGCUUCAUUUGCAUAUACUUGUGUCUUGUGCCUUCCAGCUUUUCUUCCCUCAAAAGUUUUUUAAAUCUAUCAACUCUCUUUCUAAAGAUUUUUAAAGAGAAACUUAAAAACUAAUAGAAACUAAUUUCAAGUAUGAAAAACAGGAAAAAGAAAUGAAUAAAAGAAAAACCUAAAAGUGCAAGAAAGAAAAAGAACUAAAACAGAGAUGAUAGAAAAGAGAAACAAAAAUGUAAUUUCUAACCUCCUUUAUAGUAGUUAUAAGUACAAUUAUAUAAUUGCAUCUUACUUUAUGGUUACAAUGUGUCUCUCUUCUUUGUAGAAUCUAUUCUGUCUAAUCAUCCAACCCAUAAAUUAUAAGUUCAUUUUUCCCCAUUUCAUGCAAAAAGUUCAUAAAAGGUCUCUAGACAGCAAUAAACACCGAUAGGUCUUUUCUCUGAUCAAAGAAGUCAUCCCUCCUCCCUCCAAAGCAGUGUAAAUUAUGAAGUCUGCAAUUUCAGGCAUGCCCAUUUUAGGAAUAUCACCAAUGAGAGUUUGAACAUAAAAAAAAUACUUUAUGCAUUUGCAGUGAGUGGUAUCUCCUUUUUUUCUGUUAAUAUUCCUUAGUCUUGUAAAAUGUUAUUAACAAACACAAAUAAAAUACAGAUCUUAAAGAAAUUUGAGAGUGUUUAUUACUGAUCUU